AAUUUGCCGGCAUGGAGAGCACUGAGGCAAGAGCAGGACGAGGAAUUCAAUCAAUCUUUGUCCAUUGAUCAAGAGAGGGAGAGGAGACAGAGGGAAAUGAUAACUCAAGAGCAGCGUCGGAGAAAGGCCAUAGAAGAUAGAGUGGACCUUAUCAACAGUGUCGAGGAACCAGUAGAUGGCGUCGAACUCCACUGCAAAUUUCCAGAUGGAAGAAUUUCCAAUAGGAGAUUUUAUUUAUCCCAGCCAUUCCAGCAUCUUGUUGCUUUUGUUGGGACUGACGAGAUGGCAUCUGAGGUCUUCACUCUGCAGCGCGCAAUGUCCCCUACUGCC